UUAGUUUCUGAAGAUACUAUUUCAGUCACAAUUGUGUGUGUGUGUGUAAGCAUCUGUAGGUGGGAACAUUGAAGCCAGAUGGAACUAUGCCUAGUACUCUAACCUCUCUGUUUUUUUUCCCCCUCUCUGUUUCCCCCUCUAGGUGGGAACGUGUAAAUCAGCCUUGCUCAACAGAGGGAUCUAUGCCUCCUGGGUCUUCCUGAUUCUCCUGGCUGUACUGAGCAUGUGCAGAAUGAUCUACUGGGGCUGUCUGAAGAUCAGCGAACCUAUACAGAACAACCCAUAGAGGGGAGAGGAGCCCAUACAGAACAUCACAUAGAGGAGCCCAUACAGAACAUCACAUAGAGGAGCCCAUACAGAACAUCACAUAGAGGGGAGAGGAGCCCAUACAGAACAUCACAUAGAGGGGAGAGGAGCCCAUACAGAACAUUACAUAGAGGAGAGAGGAGCCCAUACAGAACAUCACAUAGAGGAGAGAGAGGAGCCCAUACAGAACAUCACAUAGAGGAGAGAGGAGCCCAUACAGAACAUCACAUAGAGGGGAGAGGAACCCAUAGAAAUGGGGGAGGGGUUCCUCAAUGCUGGAAGAGGGACCCCGAGUUAAAACAUUAGGGAACCCCUGACAUGGAGAGGAACAGAGAGAUGUACUAAGGGAGAUAUGGUAUAGGAAGGAGCGUGAGAACAAACAUUAACAUGACCAAGUCAAACUAGAUCAAACCAGAUCCAACCAGAUCAAACUAGAUCAAACUAGAUCAAACUGUCUAAACUGCCUCUGUCUGGAAUAACUAACUGGUCUUAGUGGAUAUGUCCCAAAUGGUGCACCACUCAACGUUUGACCAGGGCCCCUUUUCCCUAUAUAGUGCACUACUUUAGACCAGGGCCCUAUAGAACCCUAUUCCCUAUAUAGUGCACUACUUUAGACCAGGGCCCUAUAGAACCCUAUUCCCUAUAUAGUGCACUACUUUAGACUAGGGCCCUAUAGACUAAUAGUCCCCUACUGGACUGGCUGUUAGGACUAAUAGUCCCCUACUGGACUGGCUGUUAGGACUAAUAGUCCCCUACUGGACUGGCUGUUAGGACUAAUAGUCCCCUACUGGCUGUUAGGACUAAUAGUCCCCUACUGGACUGGCUGUUAGGACUGAUAGUGCCCUACUGGACUGGCUGUUAGGACUAAUAGUCCCCUACUGGCUGUUAGGACUAAUAGUCCCCUACUGGANNNNNNNNNNUCCCCUACUGGACUGGCUGUUAGGACUAAUAGUCCCCUACUGGACUGGCUGUUAGGACUAAUAGUCCCCUACUGGACUGGCUGAUAGGACUAAUAGUCCCCUACUGGACUGGCUGUUAGGACUAAUAGUCCCCUACUGGACUGGCUGUUAGGACUAAUAGUCCCCUACUGGACUGGGAGGACUAAUAGUCCCCUACUGGACUGGGAGGACUAAUAGUCCCCUACUGGACUGGCUGUUAGGACUAAUAGUCCCCUACUGGACUGGGAGGAAACCUGGAGGAGCCUGCACUCGCCAUCACACCAAUAAUUGUUUUUUACUGUAGAAUCUGAUUUUUACUGUAAAAACUGACACACUCCGUUUCUACAGUAAAAUAAAUCACUGAGUGCUACAGACCUGGUGAUAUUUAUUGGUUUUUGAUCGACCGGUGAUAGAUUGGUGUGACUAUAUAUAUAUAUAUUUCACUCACUCUCUGCAGUCAUUGGCAUUGUUAUGUGAUUUAUUUUUAAAUAGUUGGUUUAUUUUCUAUUAUAGAGGUGUCUCCUGUUGUCUGUCACACUCUCUGGUUAACUGUUGUAAUAUCUUACUAAGCGGAGUCCCAAAUGCCUCCCUAUUCCCUACUGCUAUUGACCUGAGCCCUAUUGGCCAUAGUGCCCUGCUUUUAAAGUAGUGCCCUAUAAAGGGGAUAGUGUGCCAUUUGGGAUGCAAAUCUAACUGUAACGUGUUGUUGGCACUACAUCCUAAUGAUUUAGAUCUGGUCCAAGGCGUUACGCGCGACUUGGCUGGUGCCGAACCUGCUAGAUGCACGUAACAACAUGGACAAGAGCUACCUAUCAAUUAUACAGCUGAAUAAUAACAGGUCCUGUUGUGCUGAUAUUCUGAGUAAUAAUGGUGUGAGACUAAAAUACUUUUAACAAAACCUCUGUGUGUGUGUGUGUGUGUGUGUGUGUGUGUGUGUGUGUGUGUGUGAGAGAAAUAUGCAUAGGCAGAGUGGGAGAGUAGUACACUGUUAAAAGGGGAAGCCGUUGGAGGGUUUUAGGUGGUUAUACUAUGCCUGAUUUAAAUGUUUCAAUUAGAAUUUUAGGACCCCUUUAGGUAUCAAAAAGUUAU
rnacentral:lncRNA from 13 species